GGUUGCCUCGGCGAGGGCUUUGACAUUUGCAUUGUUGUGAGAGAAAGCUAAAAAUGGUGUCUGACAUUAUGGGGCAUUCCACUCUAGGCUGAACCGGUAAUCCCACAGGCGCAGAGAAGCAGGAAAUACAGCACGCUCGGCGGUGAAAAGUGACACUGGGCUGGGCCGGAACGUGGAAAUAAUGAUGGUGAAAGUGUCAGCCUGCUACGGCAGAACAACGCGCUGAGCUCUCCGCAUCCGGCCUGCCGCCUCAGCAUCCCUAUCAAACCCCGCUCACUGGGUGUGAGUCCCUCUCUGCCUAACCUUUCCGCCUGGCACGCCCACCUUGGC
ensembl:lncRNA